rnacentral:sRNA from 2 species
AUCUACUGACCUGGUUGAAGGAAUGAUAUCCACUGAUGAUAUCUAUGAUGAUAUCUAGCGAUGAUAUCUAGCAAUGAUAUAUCGAUCCAGCAAUGAUGUAUACCGAUGAUAAUGUAUACCGAUGAUAUGUACCGAUGGUAUCAAUGAUGAUAUCUAACAACGAUACCUUGCGAGGAUAUCUAGCAAUGAUAUCUAGCGAUGAUAUUGCUUAAUAGCAACAUAAUGAAUAAUAUGACUUCGCACUUUUGCUCCGUCUUGGCCCAGUUGCAUGUUUCAUGAAGCCCCUGCUAUAUAGUGUUGUGCCUGAGCCUUCCAACCCUUUGGAGGAAUUAAAGAUGUCUUCAUCCCCUGGGAUUUAUUGAAUUGUUAUUCUUUAUAAUAAAAAUAAA